CCUACGGGUGGCAGCAGUGAGGAAUAUUGGUCAAUGGGCGCGAGCCUGAACCAGCAAAGUAGCGUGAAGGAUGACUGCCCUACGGGUUGUAAACUUCUUUUAUAAAGGAAUAAAGUGAGGCACGUGUGCCUUUUUGUAUGUACUUUAUGAAUAAGGAUCGGCUAACUCCGUGCCAGCAGCCGCGGUAAUACGGAGGAUUCGAGCGUUAUCCGGAUUUAUUGGGUUUAAAGGGAGCGUAGAUGGGUUGUUAAGUCAGUUGUGAAAGUUUGAGGCUCAACUGUAAAGUUGCAAUUGAUACUGGUAGGCUUGAGAACAGUUGAGGUAGGCGGAAUGCAUGGUGUAGCGGUGAAAUGCUUAGAGAUCACACAGAACCCCGAUUGCGAAGGCAGCUUACUAAGCU
rnacentral:rRNA from 1 species